UACGAAGGGGGCUAGCGUUGUUCGGAAUUACUGGGCGUAAAGCGUGCGCAGGCGGCUUCUCAAGUCAGGGGUGAAAGCCCAGAGCUCAACUCUGGAAUUGCCUUUGAGACUGAGUGGCUUGAGUACGAGAGAGGUGAGUGGAAUUCCCAGUGUAGAGGUGAAAUUCGUAGAUAUCUGGAGGAACACCGGUGGCGAAGGCGGCAUCCUGGACCAAUUCUGACGCUGAGGAGCGAAAGCCAGGGGAGCAAACGGG
rnacentral:rRNA from 1 species